CAUACAAAGAGAAGCGACCUCGCGAGAGCAAGCGGACCUCAUUAAGUGCGUCGUAGUCCGGAUUGUAGUCUGCAACUCGACUCCAUGAAGUCGGAAUCGCUAGUAAUCGUGGAUCAGAAUGCCACGGUGAAUACGUUCCCGGGCCUUGUACACACCGCCCGUCACACCAUGGGAGUGGGUUGCAAAAGAAGUAGGUAGCUUAACCUUCGGGAGGGCGCUUACCACUUUGUGAUUCAUGACUGGGGUGAAGUCGUAACAAGGUAACCGUAGGGGAACCUGCGGUUGGAUCACCUCCUUACCUUAAAGAAGC
rnacentral:rRNA from 1 species